UACGUAGGGUGCGAGCGUUAAUCGGAAUUACUGGGCGUAAAGCGAGCGCAGACGGUUAUUUAAGUCAGAUGUGAAAUCCCCGAGCUUAACUUGGGAACUGCGUUUGAAACUGGGUAACUAGAGUAUGUCAGAGGGGGGUAGAAUUCCACGUGUAGCAGUGAAAUGCGUAGAGAUGUGGAGGAAUACCGAUGGCGAAGGCAGCCCCCUGGGAUAAUACUGACGUUCAUGCUCGAAAGCGUGGGUAGCAAACAGG
rnacentral:rRNA from 1 species